rnacentral:lncRNA from 1 species
UCAUUAAUUCUUCAACCACGCUCAACAAUUUAGCCGUACUAUUCAUCAUCCUUUCACACUAAUCAGCUCUCCUUAAGUUCAGUAUAAAUUCAUCCUCAUUCACCCUCUUCAUCACAGCAACAAAUCUACUCCUUCCAUCGAGAAAUCACCAAGCAUAAUCUCCUCAUUCCCAUUCCACAAACGUUCCUAGCAAAAAGAGGAAAGACUGCACUGCUCUUCAUCAUUCUCUGCCAAAGCAUUUUCAAGUAUCAGUUCAUUCAAACAAUAACCAACCAACAAAACCAUUCAAGGUAUUUUCAGUUCACUAUCUUCAUAUAUGCAUUUCACUUCCCUCACUUCAUAUAAAAGAAAUUCGAAACAUAGGAUGAGAAAUAUUACAGAAAGAUAUAGCGAACCACAUAUGCAUACUUGAUCGAUAACUUUUCUCAACAAGUCGAGGACUCAUACAUUGUUAUACUCUACACCUUAGAACAGCGAAUCAUGAGAACCCCCACGCUUAACAACUAGAAACUGAAGUAGAAGAAGAAUGAAAGUAGAUAACUUAGCUUGUUAGAAGAGUAAUGGCUGACCGCCCUGUUCAGUCGAGUCCAAGGAAACAACUGACUGCUCUGCUAGACUCGGCUUCGAGUCAGCGGCGGCGAGCAAGCGAGAUCAAUCGACGAUAUACAUAGGCAGCAGAGCCCGCUGCUCGUCGGAAUUAAACAGCAGCGGCGACCUUCGGCUCCGCCGAAGGAAGCCUCGGACUCGAGUUGAGGAAGGAGAAGGCAGAGGCCGUGGCGACAAGCGAUCGAGACCCCGGCUGUUCGUCGACCUCCCUACUACAGCGGUGGCAACGACGAGUGGGCGGCGACUCGCGGGUGAAGCAGCAGGUGUUCGCCGGCCUCCCUACAGCAGCGGCGCAACUUCGGAGGAAGGCAGCCCCGGCGAGCUGGCCUCUGUCGGCAGCAGCUGUUCUGCCGUCUCUCGCCAACUCCAGAGCAGCAGCAACGGCAGCAAUUCCAGGAGAGGCAGCGGCUGCCGAGGCUCCAGCUGGCGACGGUGGCGGCAACUCCAGACGGCGGCGGUUUCAGGCGAGAAGCUCGCCUUGGUGCUCCACGAACAGCAGCAGUCGGCGGAGCUCUGCAACAGGAGAAGCAGCAGCCGCG